GAUAAACGCUGGCGGCGUGCAUGAGACAUGCAAGUCGAACGAAGGAUCGGGCUUGCUCGAUCCUUAGUGGCGGACGGCUGAGUAACGCGUAGGUGACCUACCCCGAAGUGGGGAAUAACUGCCCGAAAGGGUGGCUAAUACCGCAUGUGGUCGCACGUUCAUUCGUGCGAGUAAAGCCGCAAGGCGCUUCGGGAGGGGCCUGCGUCCGAUUAGCUCGUUGGUGGGGUAAUGGCUUACCAAGGCGACGAUCGGUAGGUGGUCUGAGAGGACGAUCACCCAGACUGGGACUGAGACACGGCCCAGACUCCUACGGGAGGCAGCAGUCGGGAAUUUUGCUCAAUGGGGGAAACCCUGAAGCAGCAACGCCGCGUGAGGGAUGAAGGCCUUCGGGUUGUAAACCUCUUUUGUCAGGGACGAUGAUGACGGUACCUAGCGAAUAAGCCACGGCUAACUACGUG
rnacentral:rRNA from 1 species